GAGACAGCAGUCGCCGCGGUAAUACGUAGGUGGCAAGCGUUGUCCGGAAUUAUUGGGCGUAAAGGGCUCGCAGGCGGUUUCUUAAGUCUGAUGUGAAAGCCCCCGGCUCAACCGGGGAGGGUCAUUGGAAACUGGGAAACUUGAGUGCAGAAGAGGAGAGUGGAAUUCCACGUGUAGCGGUGAAAUGCGUAGAGAUGUGGAGGAACACCAGUGGCGAAGGCGACUCUCUGGUCUGUGACUGACGCUAAGGAGCGAAAGCGUGGGGAGCGAACAGGAUUAGAUACCCCGGUAGUCCCUGUCUCUUAUAC
rnacentral:rRNA from 1 species